rnacentral:rRNA from 1 species
AUUGAACGCUGGCGGCAUGCCUUACACAUGCAAGUCGAACGGUAACGCGGGGCAACCUGGCGACGAGUGGCGAACGGGUGAGUAAUGCAUCGGAACGUGCCCAGUAGUGGGGGAUAGCCCGGCGAAAGCCGGAUUAAUACCGCAUACGACCUAUGGGUGAAAGCGGGGGAUCGUAAGACCUCGCGCUAUUGGAGCGGCCGAUGUCAGAUUAGGUUGUUGGUGGGGUAAAAGCCUACCAAGCCUGCGAUCUGUAGCUGGUCUGAGAGGACGACCAGCCACACUGGGACUGAGACACGGCCCAGACUCCUACGGGAGGCAGCAGUGGGGAAUUUUGGACAAUGGGGGGCAACCCUGAUCCAGCCAUGCCGCGUGAGUGAAGAAGG